GACGAACGCUUUCGGCGUGCUUAACACAUGCAAGUCGAACGGAAAGGCCCUGCUUUUGUGGGGUGCUCGAGUGGCGAACGGGUGAGUAACACGUGAGUAACCUGCCCUUGACUUUGGGAUAACUUCAGGAAACUGGGGCUAAUACCGGAUAGGAGCUCCUGCUGCAUGGUGGGGGUUGGAAAGUUUCGGCGGUUGGGGAUGGACUCGCGGCUUAUCAGCUUGUUGGUGGGGUAGUGGCUUACCAAGGCUUUGACGGGUAGCCGGCCUGAGAGGGUGACCGGCCACAUUGGGACUGAGAUACGGCCCAGACUCCUACGGGAGGCAGCAGUGGGGAAUAUUGCACAAUGGGCGGAAGCCUGAUGCAGCAACGCCGCGUGCGGGAUGACGGCCUUCGGGUUGUAAACCGCUUUCGCCUGUGACGAAGCGUGAGUGACGGUAAUGGGUAAAGAAGCACCGGCUAACUACGUGCCAGCAGCCGCGGUGAUACGUAGGGUGCGAGCGUUGUCCGGAUUUAUUGGGCGUAAAGGGCUCGUAGGUGGUUGAUCGCGUCGGAAGUGUAAUCUUGGGGCUUAACCCUGAGCGUGCUUUCGAUACGGGUUGACUUGAGGAAGGUAGGGGAGAAUGGAAUUCCUGGUGGAGCGGUGGAAUGCGCAGAUAUCAGGAGGAACACCAGUGGCGAAGGCGGUUCUCUGGGCCUUUCCUGACGCUGAGGAGCGAAAGCGUGGGGAGCGAACAGGCUUAGAUACCCUGGUAGUCCACGCUGUAAACGGUGGGUACUAGGUGUGGGGUCCAUUCCACGGGUUCCGUGCCGUAGCUAACGCUUUAAGUACCCCGCCUGGGGAGUACGGCCGCAAGGCUAAAACUCAAAGGAAUUGACGGGGCCCCGCACAAGCGGCGGAGCAUGCGGAUUAAUUCGAUGCAACGCGUAGAACCUUACCUGGGUUUGACAUGGAUCGGGAGUGCUCAGAGAUGGGUGUGCCUCUUUUGGGGUCGGUUCACAGGUGGUGCAUGGCUGUCGUCAGCUCGUGUCGUGAGAUGUUGGGUUAAGUCCCGCAACGAGCGCAACCCUUGUUCACUGUUGCCAGCACGUUAUGGUGGGGACUCAGUGGAGACCGCCGGGGUCAACUCGGAGGAAGGUGGGGAUGACGUCAAGUCAUCAUGCCCCUUAUGUCCAGGGCUUCACGCAUGCUACAAUGGCUGGUACAGAGAGUGGCGAGCCUGUGAGGGUGAGCGAAUCUCGGAAAGCCGGUCUCAGUUCGGAUUGGGGUCUGCAACUCGACCUCAUGAAGUCGGAGUCGCUAGUAAUCGCAGAUCAGCAACGCUGCGGUGAAUACGUUCCCGGG
rnacentral:rRNA from 1 species